rnacentral:rRNA from 1 species
UAAUACGGGGGGUGCAAGCGUUGUUCGGAAUUAUUGGGCGUAAAGAGCGUGUAGGCGGCCAGAUAAGUCAGAUGUGAAAGCCCUGGGCUUAACCCAGGAAGUGCAUUUGAAACUGUCUGGCUUGAGUAGGGGAGAGGAAAGUGGAAUUCCUGGUGUAGAGGUGAAAUUCGUAGAUAUCAGGAGGAACACCGGUGGCGAAGGCGACUUUCUGGCCCUAUACUGACGCUGAGACGCGAAAGCGUGGGUAGCGAACAGGAUUAGAUACCCUGGUAGUCCACGCCGUAAACGAUGUUCACUAGGUGUUGGGGGUAUUGACCCCCUCAGUGCCGCAGCUAACGCAUUAAGUGAACCGCCUGGGGAGUACGGUCGCAAGACUA